GGAAUAUUGGACAAUGGGCGCAAGCCUGAUCCAGCCAUGCCGCGUGCAGGAUGACGGUCCUAUGGAUUGUAAACUGCUUUUAUACGAGAAGAAACACUGCUACGUGUAGCAGCUUGACGGUAUCGUAAGAAUAAGGAUCGGCUAACUCCGUGCCAGCAGCCGCGGUAAUACGGAGGAUCCAAGCGUUAUCCGGAAUCAUUGGGUUUAAAGGGUCCGUAGGCGGUUUAAUAAGUCAGUGGUGAAAGCCCAUCGCUCAACGGUGGAACGGCCAUUGAUACUGUUAGACUUGAAUUAUUAGGAAGUAACUAGAAUAUGUAGUGUAGCGGUGAAAUGCUUAGAGAUUACAUGGAAUACCAAUUGCGAAGGCAGGUUACUACUAAUUGAUUGACGCUGAUGGACGAAAGCGUGGGUAGCGAACAGGAUUAGAUACCCGGG
rnacentral:rRNA from 1 species